CCAUGGGGCAGAUUUGGGUCCCAUGGGGCAGGAGUGGGUGCCGUGGGUCAGGUGUGGGUGACAUGGGGCAGGUGUGGGUCCCAUGGGGCAGGUGAGGGUCCCAUGGGGCAGAUUUGGGUCCCAUGGGGCAGGUGUGGGUGCUGUGGGUCAGGUGUGGGUGCUGUGGGGCAGGUGAGGGUCCCGUGGGGCAGGUGAGGUUCCCAUGGGUGCUGUGGGGCAGGUGUGGGUGCCAUGGGGCAAAUUUGGAUCUCAUGGGACAGGUGAGGGUCCCGUGGGUCCCGUGGGGCAGAUUUGGGUCCUGUGGGGCAGAUUUGGGUCCCAUGGGACAGGUGUGGGUCCCAUGGGGCAGGUGAGGGUCCCGUGGGGCAGGCGAGGGUCCCAUGGGGCAGAUUUGGGUUCUGUGGGGCGGGUGUAGGUCCUGUGGGUGCUGUGGGGCAGAUUUGGGUCCCAUGGGGCAGAUUUGGGUCCCGUGGGGCAGGUGAGGGUCCUGUGGGUUCCGUGGGGCAGAUUUGGGUUCCGUGGGGCAGGUGAGAGUCCUGUGGGUGCCGUGGGUGCCGUGGGUGGGGCACAUUCCCACGCAGGUGUGACAGCACUGGGUGUGGUCCCACGUGGGCGUGGCCAGGUGACCCCCACCCCUGUCCCCUCCCCCACC